rnacentral:rRNA from 1 species
UACGAAGGGGGCUAGCGUUGCUCGGAAUCACUGGGCGUAAAGCGCACGUAGGCGGAUUGUUAAGUCAGGGGUGAAAUCCUGGAGCUCAACUCCAGAACUGCCUUUGAUACUGGCGAUCUUGAGUCCGGGAGAGGUGAGUGGAACUGCGAGUGUAGAGGUGAAAUUCGUAGAUAUUCGCAAGAACACCAGUGGCGAAGGCGGCUCACUGGCCCGAUACUGACGCUGAGGCACGAAAGCGUGGGGAGCGAGCCGG